AUGGGCUUCCGAGCAGCUGAGACGACGAUGAGGAAGGAUCCGCCACAGUCUGCCGGCUCCGAGGGGCUGGUGGCGCUAUCCGCCAGCCUCGCGCGGGGCAUCGCCGGCAACCCCGUGGACAGCAAUCUGGUCUUCUCGCCGCUCUCCAUCUACACCGCGCUGUUGCUCGUGGCCGCCGGCGCCCAUGGCGCCACCCUGGACGAGAUCCUUCGCGUCCUCGGCGCACGGUCCCGCGGCGAGCUCGACGAGUUCGUCGCGCGUGCGGUGGGUGGCGCGUUGCAAGACCGGACGGACUCCGGCGGCCCGCGCGUGGCGUUCGCAUGCGGCGUCUGGAGCGACCUGGCGUGCCCGCUCAAGCCCGGGUUCCUCAAGGCCGUCGCCGGCGGCGGGUACAGGGCCGAGGCCUCCACCGUCGACUUCCGCGGCGACCCCGACGGCUCGCGCCAGCUGAUCAACACGUGGGCGGCGCGCGCCACGAACAGCCUGAUCGACUCCGUCCUCGGCCCUGGGUCGGUGACCGAGUCCACCCGCGUCGUGCUCGGCAACGCCGUGUACUUCAAGGGCAAGUAG
rnacentral:rRNA from 1 species